rnacentral:tRNA from 1 species
GGGGAUGUAGCUCAGAGGCUAGAGCGAUAGGUCGUGACCCUAUGUGUCGCGGGUUCGAAUCCCGUCGUCCCCC